rnacentral:rRNA from 1 species
ACGGCUCAGUAACACGUGGACAACCUACCCUGAGGUCGGGGAUAAACCCGGGAAACUGGGUAUAAUACCCGAUAGAUCUAGAAUGCUGGAAUGCUUUUAGAUCUAAAGUUCCGACGCCUCAGGAUGGGUCUGCGGCCUAUCAGGGUAGUAGUAGGUGUAACGUACCUACUAGCCUACGACGGGUACGGGUUGUGAGAGCAAGAGCCCGGAGAUGGAUUCUGAGACACGAAUCCAGGCCCUACGGGGUGCAGCAGGCGCGAAACCUUUACAAUGCUGGCAACAGCGAUAAGGGGACCUCGAGUGCCACGAUACAAUCGUGGCUGUCUAGUUGCCUAAAAAGCAAUUGAUAGCAAGGGCCGGGCAAGACCGGUGCCAGCCGCCGCGGUAACACCGGCGGCUCGAGUGGUAACCGCUAUUAUUUGGUCUAAAGGGUCUGUAGCCGGCUUAGUCAGUCUUUUGAGAAAUCUGGCCGCUCAACGGUCAGGCGUUCAGGGGAUACUGCUAAAGCUCGAGACCGGGAGAGGUGAGAGGUACUUCAGGGGUAGGGGUGAAAUCUUGUAAUCCUUGAAGGACCACCAGUGGCGAAGGCGUCUCACCAGAACGGAUCUGACGGCAAGGGACGAAAGCUAGGGGCACGAACCGGAUUAGAUACCCGGGUAGUCCUAGCCGUAAACGAUACUCGCUAGGUGUCGGCCACGGUGCGACCGUGGUCGGUGCCGUAGGGAAGCCGUGAAGCGAGCCACCUGGGAAGUACGGCCGCAAGGCUGAAACUUAAAGGAAUUGGCGGGGGAGCAC